rnacentral:ncRNA from 19 species
AGUUGGAGAGUGUCGCCGGCAAUGUCGCCCCCGCUGACGGCGCUUUCCGGGGGACGGGUGAACAGCUCGUCCCCACCUUCUACCUUCCGGCCGGAGUAAGCCCCCCUCCGUCGGAAGGACCAGGCGGGCGGUGGAGUUCCCCCAGCUCCAUCGCCCGCUU